UCGCUCCUACCGAUUUCGAGUGGUCCGGUGAACCGUUUGGACCGGGAUCAGUCUUGUGCUGAGCCUGGGAAGUUCAGUAAACCACAUCACUUAGAGGAAGGAG
rnacentral:rRNA from 1 species